rnacentral:misc_RNA from 1 species
AGCACUUUUGGCAGGAAAGAAACGGCACGGGAUAAUACCCCGUGCAACUGACGGUACCUACAGAAGAAGAUAAGCACCGGCUAACUACGUGCCAGCAACCGCGGUAAUACGUAGGGUGCAAGCGUUAAUCGGAAUUACUGGGCGUAAAGCGUGCGCAGGCGGUUCGGAAGAAAGAUGUGAAAUCCCAGGCUUAACUUUGGAACUGCAUUUUUAACUACCGAGCUAGAGUGUGUCAGAGGGAGGUGGAAUUCCGCGUGUAGCAGUGAAAUGCGUAGAUAUGCCGGAGGAACACCGAUGGCAAGGCAGCCUCCUGGGAUAUUGCAGGCGCUCGCCACGAAAGCGUGGGGAGCCAAACAGGAUUAAAUGCCUGGUAGUCCGCCUAAACGAUAUCCUUCAACUGCUAAGGGGCCCUUCAGACGCCAAGUGACGCAAGCUAACGCGUGAAGUUGACCGCCUGGGGAAAUACGGUCGCAAGAUUAAAACUCGAGAAUUGACGGGGACGCACGGAAGCGGUGGAUGAUGUGGAUUAAUUCGAUGCAACGCGAAAAACCUUACCUACCCUUGACAUGUCUGGAAUCCCGAAGAGAUCUGGGAGUGCUCGCAAGAGAACCGGAACACAGGUGCUGCAUGGCUGUCGUCAGCUCGUGUCGUGAGAUGUUGGGUUAAGUCCCGCAACGAGCGCAACCCUUGUCAUUAGUUGCUACGAAAGGGCACUCUAAUGGGAUUUACUGGUGUAAACCGGAGGAAGGUGGGGAUGACGUCAAGUCCUCAUGGCCCAUAUGGGUAGGGCUUCACACGUCAUACAAUGGUCGGGACAGGAGAUUCAGCCAACCCGCGAGAGGCAGCUCUGCAAACCUGAUCGUCGUCCGGAUCGCGUCCACAACUCGACUGCGUGAAGUCGAAUCGCUAGUAAUCGCGGAUCCAGCAUGUCGCGGUGAAUACGUUCCGGGUCUUGUACACACCACUUGCGUCACCAUGGGAGUGGGUUUUACCAGAAGUAGUUAGCCUAACCGUAAGGAGGCGAUUACCACGGUAGGAUUCAUGACUGGGGUGAAGUCGUAACAAGGUA